rnacentral:rRNA from 1 species
AUGCCUGAUGUGAGUCUUAGUGCUAAUAAGAACUAUUUUUUUCCAAAUGGUAAAUCUACCUUUUCCCCAUCAUGUGACUUAAAGCUAAUCUAUUCAUGGUUAGUUUUCCUUCCUGUACAAAGGUCAUCUGUUCCGGUACAGUUUUUCUUCGCUUUCUUUUACUGUAACAUAGACAAUGCUCACAUGGUCGCAAAUUGUAAACAGAGAUGGAAACGUGCAUACAGAUCUCUCAAGCAUGCAAUAUUUUUCCAGGGUGACAAUUUUUUACAUGGCUUUAUAUCUGAAGACACCCUUUGUUGGCUCUAUUUGUUGUAUAUAAGUUAUAUCUGA